GACGAACGCUGGCGGCGUGCUUAACACAUGCAAGUCGAACGAUGAAGCCCAGCUUGCUGGGUGGAUUAGUGGCGAACGGGUGAGUAACACGUGAGUAACCUGCCCUCCACUCUGGGAUAAGCGCUGGAAACGGCGUCUAAUACCGGAUAUGAGCUCCUGCCGCAUGGUGGGGGUUGGAAAGAAUUUCGGUGGGGGAUGGACUCGCGGCCUAUCAGCUUGUUGGUGAGGUAAUGGCUCACCAAGGCGACGACGGGUAGCCGGCCUGAGAGGGUGACCGGCCACACUGGGACUGAGACACGGCCCAGACACCUACGGGUGGCAG
rnacentral:rRNA from 1 species